rnacentral:rRNA from 1 species
GGAGUUAGCCGGUGCUUCUUCUGUGAGUGAUGUCCUUCCUGCCGGCUAUUAACCCGCAGGCCUUCUUCCUCACUGAAAGUGCUUUACAACCCGAAGGCCUUCUUCACACACGCGGCAUGGCUGGAUCAGGGUUGCCCCCAUUGUCCAAUAUUCCCCACUGCUGCCUCCCGUAGGAGUCUGGGCCGUGUCUCAGUCCCAGUGUGGCUGAUCAUCCUCUCAGACCAGCUACGGAUCGUCGCCUUGGUGAGCCGUUACCUCACCAACCAGCUAAUCCGACAUAGGCUCAUCCGAUAGCGCGAGGCCCGAAGGUCCCCCGCUUUCCCCCGUAGGGCGUAUGCGGUAUUAGCCUGGGUUUCCCCAGGUUAUCCCCCACUACCGGGCAGAUUCCUAUGCAUUACUCACCCGUCCGCCGCUCGCCACCAGGGAGCAAGCUCCCCGUGCUGCCGCUCGACUUGCNUGUGUAGCNGCGCCAGCGUCAUCUGAGCAUAAUACAACUACUGA